UUCCCAGCUGGACACUCCGCUAAGUGGUGCAGGAAGUAGGCCCCCAGGGAGAGAGGCAGCCAGCGGAGCUGAUAACCAGUGACCCAGGGACGCUCGGGCGCCUUGGGGCCGGGCCCGGGUCAGAUAAGCGGAAAUGCCAGGCUUAUCGGCUGCCUGAGUUCUGGAGAGGUGUCCCUGCCGGCCAGCCCACCCCACUCCCCGACUCCCGCGGGCGGGUGGCCAGGCAUCUCCAGGGGAGUAAACACGGAGUUGGAAGAGCCCCGCGCCCGCGGCAGGAUGAGGACUCUGUGCCCGUCUCCGGCACUGCGCGGCCCGGGCGCCAGGGGCCACCCACGGGCGUCAGGUUACACCCAGAUAUUCGCGGACAAAGAGAGAGAGGAGGCGGCGGGAGCCAAGCCGCAGCGCGCGCUGAGCAGCCGGGGCGUGCAGGCCGAGCUCCGGGGGCCUCGGGAAGAGAGCCAGCAGGCUGACCUGCCCGAGGGCACAGCGGCGAGGCUGCCUGCG